UACGUAGGGGGCUAGCGUUGUCCGGAAUCAUUGGGCGUAAAGCGCGUGUAGGCGGCCCGGUAAGUCCGCUGUGAAAGUCGGGGGCUCAACCCUCGAAAGCCGGUGGAUACUGUCGGGCUAGAGUACGGAAGAGGCGAGUGGAAUUCCUGGUGUAGCGGUGAAAUGCGCAGAUAUCAGGAGGAACACCCAUUGCGAAGGCAGCGCGCUGGGACGUUACUGACGCUGAGACGCGAAAGCGUGGGGAGCAAACAGG
rnacentral:rRNA from 1 species